rnacentral:rRNA from 1 species
AGUGAACGCUGGCGGCAGGCCUAACACAUGCAAGUCGAGCGGAUGAAGGGAGCUUGCUCCUGGAUUCAGCGGCGGACGGGUGAGUAAUGCCUAGGAAUCUGCCUGGCUGCGUGGGAUUACGUCCGGAAACGGGGGCUAAUACCGCAUACGUCCUGAGGGAGUAAGGGUGGGAGCUUCGGACCUCACGCUAUCAGAUGAGCCUAGGUCGGAUUAGCUAGUUGGUGGGGUAAAGGCCUACCAAGGCGACGAUCCGUAACUGGUCUGAGAGGAUGAUCAGUCACACUGGAACUGAGACACGGUCCAGACUCCUACGGGAGGCAGCAGUGGGGAAUAUUGGACAAUGGGCGAAAGCCUGAUCCAGCCAUGCCGCGUGUGUGAAGAAGGUCUUCGGAUUGUAAAGCACUUUAAGUUGGGAGGAAAAGCAGUAGGUUAAUACCUUGCUGUUUUGACGUUACCAACAGAAUAAGCACCGGCUAACUUCGUG